UGCAUAUCAAUAAGCGGAGGAAAAGAAACCAACAGGGAUUGCCUCAGUAGCGGCGAGUGAAGCGGCAAGAGCUCAGAUUUGAAAUCGUGCUUUGCGGCACGAGUUGUAGAUUGCAGGUUGGAGUCUGUGUGGAAGGCGGUGUCCAAGUCCCUUGGAACAGGGCGCCCAGGAGGGUGAGAGCCCCGUGGGAUGCCGGCGGAAGCAGUGAGGCCCUUCUGACGAGUCGAGUUGUUUGGGAAUGCAGCUCCAAGCGGGUGGUAAAUUCCAUCUAAGGCUAAAUACUGGCGAGAGACCGAUAGCGAACAAGUACUGUGAAGGAAAGAUGAAAAGCACUUUGAAAAGAGAGUGAAACAGCACGUGAAAUUGUUGAAAGGGAAGGGUAUUGCGCCCGACAUGGGGAUUGCGCACCGCUGCCUCUCGUGGGCGGCGCUCUGGGCUUUCCCUGGGCCAGCAUCGGUUCUUGCUGCAGGAGAAGGGGUUCUGGAACGUGGCUCUUCGGAGUGUUAUAGCCAGGGCCAGAUGCUGCGUGCGGGGACCGAGGACUGCGGCCGUGUAGGUCACGGAUGCUGGCAGAACGGCGCAACACCGCCCGUCUUGAAACACGGACCA
rnacentral:rRNA from 1 species